GAUCACCUCCCUUCCUCCCCACAUGUCCCAGCUGUCGACACCCCGCAGUCCUCACUAAGCGUUCCCUUCACGGCAGCAGCAGGUGGUUCCCCGUGAUUCCCCACCCCUGGCCCCAAAAACAAUUGUAGCGGAGGACGACCCACUAGUAAAUGGACCAACCGUCCACCGCAGAACCCCAGUCGAUCACCCCCAGGCUGGACUCCAAGGCGAUGGUUGCGGUGCUGACUCACCAGCACGGCUGGGGAGGAGGAGUUUCCCCGUGGUCGGCACAGUCUCACGUCUCCAGCACGGCAGCCGCAUCGAGCAGGAUGAGCGGAAUGGAAUCCCCACCCCUACAGUCUCCGCAGCAUACCCUUUAUUGAGUCGCACCCUUGUUUUUUUCCAUAUUGAUUAGCACGGCAUGCCCAUGAGUCCAAACCCUCGUGCUCCCGAGCUGAUCUAAUCCCCCGCACACCUGCAACCACUUUCGCACAAAGCCACCCCCGCGCGUCCCUCGCUCCUCAAUCAAAAGACACCCUGCCCCCAAAGCUAUCACUCUAACUGCGACAGCCAGCAUGUGUGAAAUUGCGUCCAGAGAAGAUGUGUAACCGAGAGUUUGAGACCGAUGUUCCAUAGCAUUCACAUACAGGUGUAGGUGUCAUCCAAUUGGAGAUGAGCUUUCUGUCCUUAUGAUGUAAUUAAUUGCAGAAGAGAAUUAGUUGAUAUGGAAUGCAUACUGCCUAUUAAAAACAUUAUUUAGGGGCAUAUUUUGAUAUAUAUGAAAUGAUUAUGUAUACAUUUUAACUGUUGGACAUUUCUAUUAAAAUUACUGCCAGGUGUG